rnacentral:lncRNA from 1 species
GAAAUUGACAGGGACCAGAAACAGGCUGAUCUAUUCAUUCCUAAACAUCAGCCAGUGAGGAUAAAUACCAUAUUUCCAGAAACUUCAGAGUUCUAAGAGGCACUCAAGGGAAAACUUGCUUCUCCAAUUCUGACAGGGCUAAAUAGGAAAGGGAGGUGGGGAUGAAGUGCCUUGUGGCAGAGAUAUCACAGUUUGUGAGUUUGGCACAACUGCCAUUAUCUAUCCAUGUUGUCAUUGCUGCACCGGCUGUAUACACCCUACUGGUCCAUUUGGACAUCCGCCAAUCUGCACAUAGGUUUGAUGCUGCCCUGAUUUAAGGGAAGGACUAUGACACACAUUUUACAUGCAGGUGGUCUGCCAGCCAGAGUGGGCAGCACUGAGCUAGAAUGACCAGCCACUUGCUCAAGUCAAGAUGGCUUCAUGAGUUGAUUUAAUGCAGUCUCGGGUCUAGGGACCAAAUACAGCUGUCCAGGCCAAUGCAUUUGGCUUCUGAGGCUGCCCGCAGGCCAUGCCUCCACUCUUUGCUAGUGCUGCUCCACAUCUUCCUCCGUUGUUUUGCCUGCCUGGAAUGUGUUCUUGAUAAUAAUGCCUCUUGCUUGUCUGCGUGGAGAGAUGCUCAUGUAGAAGCCUCUGUACAUUGUGCAGCUGGGCUGUAGCCUACAAUACGAAGUUACGAGUUGCAUCUCUUGCCCCACCCACUACUGGCAUGUUGCCCCCGGAAUGUAUCCCUCAGGAUGCAGAAAGUUCCCCACCCUCACUCAAUGCAACCACCCCUUGCAAAAGCUUCUACUGCAAAGCACCUUAAGCAUAAUAAUUAGGCACAGUUUUCAUUUAUACUUCUCGUAGUGUCUUUUAAUCUGGCCCUCCCCGUUCCUUCCAGGGCUCCUGAGAUGCUGAUCCUUUGCCCACACCUGUCAAAUGAUCCUUAAUAGAUGCAUGAGUAUGAUUUAUGUCUGCGGUUCUCAUGCUUUCUUCUCCAUUAUUGUCUUUAAAGAUGCCUCUGGUGGGAUUUUGGCUCUCGGAUAUUCCCAGAUUGCACCUGCUUGCAGCUACACAUCUGUUGUCUUUUCUGCGGCAUGCCUCAGUGAGGGACCUGCUCUGCUGUAAUUCCAUCUGUGAGAAUUCUCAUCCGAAGACAAACCUCCAGCAGAAGAACAAAACCAUCCGGAGGCAGGCAGGAGCAAAGCUAAUCCACUUAGGUGAGAUUUGAAUAAACCAACAAAGAAGGAAAGGGUUCUAGAGUAGCGAGCCUAGAAAUGAUCUGCGCUGGCCCUGCAAAGCAAAGGCCAUGAGACAA